GACGAACCGUCCGAACGUUAUUCGGAAUUACUGGGCUUAAAGCGCGUGUAGGCGGCUCGGCACGUCGGACGCUGAAAUCCCCCGGCUCAACCGGGGAAGUGGCGCCGAUACGGCCGGGCUGGAGGGGGGUAGGGGGGCCUGGAACUUCGGGUGGAGCGGUGAAAUGCGUUGAGAUCCGAAGGAACGCCCGUGGCGAAAGCGAGGCCCUGGACCCUUUCUGACGCUGAGACGCGAAAGCCAGGGGAGCGAACGGG
rnacentral:rRNA from 2 species